GUCAUGUUUAUCUUUGUUCGAAAACUUCCUGUGAAACUUACUCGACAGGUCUUUGAAGCUAGUUAGAGUCAACGACCGUUGAUGGCGAGAAUGGGUCGAAAGAGUCAGUUCUGCUACUUUUUCCAAAACAAACGUUCCUGCCUCAUUUGCCUGCACGCACUUCCUGCCCGAGCUCAGAUCUACAUCAACGCAUCUGGCAACACCGCUAGCCAUCACAACCAGUAUCUUCACCAAUGAUCAUCUUCAAGAACCAAUAAUCAGUCUCUUCAGAAAAACAAGGAUCAAGAAAAUACUUCUCUAAAGCAUCAACCUUCCAGUGAUACGACCCGUAAUAGCCUGUGUUUCGUUUCGCAGCCUUUUGUCUGCUGGCUUCCAAAUACAUCGUGGGACGCCUUAACGCCAACGGCAACACUGUUUUUGUCAAAAAUUUUUCUGACGCGAGAUGAAUGUAUUACGGCCAUCUUUCAGCCCGCAAUGAUAACCGCCAAAUUGGACAACAGUGAAUCUGACUAACGUAUAGGACGCGACGCU